rnacentral:rRNA from 1 species
UCAGCUUGCUGGGGUGAUCAGUGGCGAACGGGUGAGUAACACGUGAGCAACCUGCCCCUGACUCUGGGAUAACUGCUGGAAACGGUGGCUAAUACCGGAUACGACCUGCCGGGGCAUCCUGGUGGGUGGAAAGUUUUUCGGUCGGGGAUGGGCUCGCGGCCUAUCAGCUUGUUGGUGGGGUAGUGGCCUACCAAGGCGACGACGGGUAGCCGGCCUGAGAGGGCGACCGGCCACACUGGGACUGAGACACGGCCCAGACUCCUACGGGAGGCAGCAGUGGGGAAUAUUGCACAAUGGGCGCAAGCCUGAUGCAGCGACGCCGCGUGAGGGAUGACGGCCUUCGGGUUGUAAACCUCUUUCAGCAGGGAAGAAGCGAGAGUGACGGUACCUGCAGAAGAAGCGCCGGCUAACUACGUGCCAGCAGCCGCGGUAAUACGUAGGGCGCAAGCGUUGUCCGGAAUUGUUGGGCGUAAAGAGCUCGUAGGCGGUGUGUCGCGUCUGCUGUGAAAUCCUCAGGCUCAACCUGGGGCUUGCAGUGGGUACGGGCACACUAGAGUGCGGUAGGGGUGACUGGAAUUCCUGGUGUAGCGGUGGAAUGCGCAGAUAUC